rnacentral:lncRNA from 1 species
AUUUGUGCAUAUAUAUCUUUUCCAGGAUCCUGAUUCUUUCUUUAGGAUAGAGCCCUAGAAUGCAUACUAUUGGAUCAGCCUUCAAACUUGCUGAUCUUAGAAUGAGAGGCCAGAAGAUAUCACACAACGAAAGAUCCUUACCAGAGUUCCCUCCCAAGCAUCCUGGUGGACUCCCAGAGCUUUGGCAAUUUGAUUCUGAAUGAAGAAUGGCCCUUUGGUUACAGGAAAGACUGUGAUGUCCAAGGAACACGGGCUUUCAAAGAUGUCUUUUGUUUUGUGGUUGUUCCUCUUCAUGACUGCCAUUUGAGGCAAUACGCCCUUAAUUUUUGGUUGGUGGGACCCAGGAAACUUUGCCCCCAAGGAACUUCAAUUUGCAUGCAUAUUUGAUGAAAGGACUUAUAGCCCCAGCUACCACCAGGGUUUAGAUCCCAUACAACAGAUGCCCAAUAUACAAUCCACUUAAUUGAAGAGCUUAUAUGUAUUCGCCGA